rnacentral:rRNA from 1 species
CCUACGGGCGGCUGCAGUGGGGGAUAUUGCACAAUGGGGGGAACCCUGAUGCAGCGACGCCGCGUGGGUGAAGGAGUGCUUCGGCAUGUAAAGCCCUAUCGUCCGGGAAGAAGCAAGACGGUACCUGACUAAGAAGCCCCGGCUAACUACGUGCCAGCAGCCGCGGUAAUACGUAGGGGGCGAGCGUUAUCCGGAUUCAUUGGGCGUAAGGGGUGCGUAGACGGCCAUGCAAGCCAGGGGUGAAAGCCCGGGGCCCAACCCCGGGACUGCCCUUGGAACUGUGCGGCUAGAGUGCGGGAGGGGCAGGCGGAAUGCCUGGUGUAGCGGUGAAAUGCGUAGAUAUCAGGAGGAACACCGGCGGCGAAGGCGGCCUGCUGGACCGCGACUGACGUUGAGGCUCGAAAGCGUGGGGAGCGAACAGGAUUAGAUACCCGAGUAGUC